UACAUCUGUAGUAAAGCUGCACACAGAGAACCCCUUGCUGUGCUCGGGGGCAGACUCACCGUCGGCCUUUUCCCAAAGCAGAGGUGAUGUGUCCUGGUCCACUAAUGUCAACAUCGCAGGAACCAUCGGAGGACUGUCAAACACACUAACACACAACCUUUUCCAGCUAACCCUAACACAACACAACAGUACAGCGGCGUCCAGGAAAGGAACCGGAGCACAUUUGGGACAGUGCAGAGGGCAUGCACCAAAAGGCAUUGUCGGCACUCAAGAGCGAGUGUGUGCCGUCUGAUCGCAAGGAGCAGCUGUCUUGUUCGUCUGCUGGAUGGUUCUCCGUGACUCACACCACGUGAAGAAGAAGAGAGUCGAAGACAGAGGUUAUGUAGAAGCUGACGAGCAAAAAGAGACGGCGGCUGUGUGUUGUUUUGACUGAAGGAGGGGAAGGCUGACAAUGAGUUUGCCCACUUUUACGCGGCUGAAUGUGGGAUGAGAGACGGCGAGAUUUCUCUCUGUGUUAUUUAUUCGUACAGAUAAGUCUUAUUUUUAUACAUGUGUGCACGUAUUGAGAAAUCAGACUAAACUUCAAAGGCACUUUGUUUCAUUUUGUGAAGAUGUACGAAUUUCAGUGAAGCAUAA